rnacentral:rRNA from 1 species
GAUGUUGAGUUACAAAGGUAUAAGAUAGCAGAAACAGUUGGGAAGCUGUUCCAAAGAGGGUGACAGGCCCGUAUGCGAAAUCUUGUACUCUCUAAUCAGGAUCCUGAGUACGGCCCAGCACGUGAAAUUGGGUCGGAAUCUGGGAGGACCAUCUCCCAAGGCUAAAUACUAACUAGUGACCGAUAGCGAACAAGUACCGUGAGGGAAAGGUGAAAAGAACCCCGGAAGGGGAGUGAAAUAGUUCUUGAAACCGUGUGCUUACAAGAAGUUCGAGGCCGUUAAUGGCUGAGAGCGUGCUUUUUGUAGAAUGAACCGGAGAGUUACGAUUGCGUGCAAGGUUAAGGUGCAAAGACUGGAGCCGUAGCGAAAGCGAGUCUUAAUAGGGCGAAUCAGUACGUAGUUGUAGACCCGAAACCGAGUGACCUAUCCAUGGUCAGGUUGAAGGUGGGGUAAUACCUACUGGAGGACCGAACAAGUGGGUGUUAAAAAACCCUUUGAUGAACUGUGGAUAGCGGUGAAAUUCCAAUCGAACUCGGAGAUAGCUGGUUCUAUCCGAAAUACAUUUAGGUGUAGCCUUGCAAUUAGCUUACUGGAGGUAGAGCACUAUUUGGUCUAGGGGCCCUUCAAGGGUUACCAAAAUCAGAUAAACUCCGAAUGCCAGCUAAGUAUGUGCAGGAGUCAGACGGUGAGUGAUAAGAUCCAUCGUCAAAAGGGGAACAGCCCAGAUCACCAGUUAAGGUCCCUAAAUAUAUGCUAAGUGGAAAACGUUGUGAAGGUGCAUAGACAACUAGGAGGUUGGCUCAGAAGCAGCCACCCUUUAAAGAGUGCGUAAUAGCUC